ensembl:lncRNA
UGUAAGCUUUGGAGGCUUGUUUACAUUGGAGGGAGCCUUAGCAAGCAGGCGCUACUGUCGUAAAGUGUAGAGAAAGGGCUACGUCAGUGUAUCCUCAGGGUUUGUUUUGAUCUAUCUUGUGAUUAUUAAAGGAAACCUCUCACCUACCUUCAUCUCUUGGAAAGCAAAAGCAGAACAAAGGCUUAUUCUUUAAGGGGAAAUCUACCUCUGUCCCUUGGCUGUCAUACAAGUACUGUGUGUGGACAUUCCACGAGCAGAGUAUUAAAGUGUCCAGAGCUGACCUGCAGGAGACGGCAGAGUCAUAUACUGGAAGCCUUUACAGUCACCGACAGCUGAUGGUGAU